CCAGAACCAAAUGGCAAUAACUCAAAACUCUGUCCCUUUACAUCAAUUGCCUUCCCUAAGAACCUCUCAGGCCUAAACUCAUCUGGUGCAUCCCACAGUGUGGGGUCUCUUCCCAUGCUCCAUAUGUUCACAAACACUAGAGUCCCUUUACGAACAUCAUAACCUGCCACGUUGCAAUCUUCAAGAGCUAGAUGUGGUGGUAGCAUUACAACCGCAGGGUGCUUCCUCAUGGUCUCUUUCAUAAUUGCAUCCAUAUAAGGAAGGUUUUCGAGGUCUUUCUCUUCUACCCAUCUCUCCUUCCCAAUCACUCUGUCAAGCUCUUCUGUCGCCUUUUCGAUCAGGUUUGGCUGUUUUAUGAGCUCAGACAUUGCCCAUUCCAAAACGGAAGCAGAGGUAUCAGUGCCUCCAGCUAUCACGUCCUGAUUUUAAUUUGCAUGAACAAAAUUAAUAAGCCACAUGAACAAUUUUGAGUAAAGCUUUGUGUUGUGUUUUUCUACAUAAGUUUUUAUAUAGAAAUGUUCUAUUGCCAGACUGCAUAACGUAUGGUCCAAAUUCACAGUAUGGCAAGAGAACAUUGUAGUAAUCUUAGUAAAUUUAAUAAGGGAAUGAUUUAGGAAGCAUAUACCUGAGUGAAUGCCUUGAUACUGUCAUAGGUGAGCUUAACUUCAAGAUCAUUAGGAUCAUCAACCAGCUGCAAUAGUAAAUCCACCAUGUCCUUUGCCACAAACUCCUUCACUCCUUCCUUCCUGGCCUUGUGUUCAUGGAGCACAAACUCAUAAAACCAGUCCAUUUUUUUCUUUACGACCUUCAUUCGCUUUACAUAACCUUGCAAAUCCAAAAAAUCAAGCCAUGGUAUCCAAUCCCCUAUAUUGAAUACCCCAUUAAGCAAGAACAACUCAUCUAACAUGUCCUGAAAUUCUUUGAGUGACAUUAUCGAACUCUCGAAGUCGGUCAAGCUAAAAUACUCCUUCCCCAACACAAUUCUGCUCAUAAUGCUAAGACUUAGGCGUGACAGAUGCUCUUUGAGCACAACUGCCUUCCCCGACAAGGCAUAGAGUCGCGAAGCAAAAGCACGAUUUUCCUCAACCCGAAUGUAUCGAAAAGACUCUAGUCUUUUGGGGCUAAACAGCUCCAUGAGAAAAAUUUUGCGGCCUUGACGCCAAUAUGGACCAUAAGGUGCCCAGGUGACAUUGAGGUAGUCAUAAGUGAGGUACUUGCCUGCAGCAGUUUGAGGCCUAGAUGCAAAGAUGUGAUCAUGUGUCUUUAAAAAUUGUUUUGUCAUUUCUGGAGAUGAGGCAACAACAACUGGGUAGGAGCCAAACUUAAGCUGCAUUAUUGGUCCAUAAGUUUGGGACAAUUUGUGAAGGGAUUGAUGAGGCAGAGGACCAAGGAGAUUGAGGUUGCCAAUUAUAGGCCAUGGUUUUGGACCUGGUGGAAGUUUUGGGCGUUUGGGAAAUAGAAUUUUGGAGAGAAGGGCCAGAGCGGCUAGCAAUGCAAGGGCUAAAACAACCAAAGAGGAAGAAGCCUCCAUUGUGUGAAAGUUGAGUAGUGCAGUGUUGACUGAUAUUGCUUGUAAUUUGUAGUUGGAGGAGCGAGGAGGACGCAUGUGGACUAUGAUAUUUAUAAACUUUUUUUGUUUGCUUUAUAUUAUCCUCCAAGACAGACGAGGUGGGGGCAAAGGAGAGCUCCAAUGAGAAUUUAAGAAUUGGCUACAUAUAUCGAGUAUAGCCGCGCGGCCAUACUCUUUAAAUAUAUUUUUUUUUGUUUAAGUCGUACAGCCGUGCGGCUAUACGCUUUAAAUAUAUUUUUUAUUUAAGGAGUACAGCCGCGCGGCCCUACGCUUUAAAUAUAUAUUUUUUAUUUAACUCAAAUAAAACAUUCAAAGCAGGAAGGAAAAUAAACCAGAAACAAAUAUAUUAGCAAAAUUCAAAUAGCAACAUUUAUCUGCUUUUAGAUGCCUUUUUAUCUAAUUACAGGCCUUGCUACCCUUCAUCAGAGAGCUCGAGCAGUUUACCUCCUCAGAGCAAAUACAUUUGGCGUGCACUUUCUAAUCAUGCACACUACAAUAAAGCAUUAUUUUUGCUCAACUUAAUUCGUUAUUCGCACACACUAAAAUUCUAUCAAGUUUUAUUUUUUGUUUUGUUUUUGGUUACACCAAGACACUGUUGAAAGCUGUUCAGAUGCUCAUCUUAGCUACGAUGUUGAUGAGUAGCUCAACUAGUUCUUUUAUUGUCUAUCAAAGAAAUGUUUUAUUUUGUACUCUUCUCCAAAGAAAUGUUUUAUUUAGUAUCGUCAUACUUAGAAAAUAUUUUCAGAUAAAAUUCCACAAACAUAAUUUUAUUUUUCUUUUCUUAUUAGCAUUUAAGGUUUAAUUUUGUUUAAUCCUGGCCCUUAACCUACUAUUAAACAAAUAAACAGCUAGCCCAAGGCCCAAAAGGCUUGAUUAUCCAAUAUUUUUGGUCCAAAGAUUAUCUAAAUAUUAUUGUACACAACUUAAUAUUAGUUAAAAUUACAUAACUUAAGCCAUGGAAAACCCAUUUAUAACGAGAUUAAUGUGUGCAUAAAAUAUACACACCAGAACCCCAAAGUAGAAAUGGAUGGUGAAGUGUCAGCGCGUAAGAGGAACACGAAUGCCUGCAAAGAUUUUGGGAGGAUCUAAGAGUAGGAAUUUUUCAAAACUGAUAUUGAUCUCCACUAAUUUAUCCCAAGUGAUUCCACUGUAGACACUAAUUCAACAACAUAAUGAUAUUAUUAAGAUUGGAAAAAAUGAUUAAGAAAUAUCAAACCACUACAACUAAAGAAAUAAAGAGAAAUACCUGGCUACUACUACAACCACUCAUGUAUUGCUGCAACUUUCUUAAAUUCUUCAAGAAUGAUUUUUCUUUUGUGUGGUUAAUUUUGUCUUGACAUAAUUUUUUAUAUUUUAUAACUUGGUGAUUUUAUUUUCUGAACAUUUUAACCUAAACAAAUUAAAUUCCACAAACAUAAUUUUAUUUUUCUUUUCUUGUUAGCAUUGAAGGUUUAAUUUUGUUUAAUCCUGGCCCUUAACCUACUACUAGCCUUUCUGCAUGCUUAUGCACCUGCUGGAGGUUUUUUUUUAAAAUUAAAUUUAUUUUAGAAUUUAAAAAAAUAAUGGGUAGUUGUGUUCCAUAAAAAUAGGAUCUAUUAUCUGAUUUUUUUUAAAAAAAAUUUAAUAUAAAAAAGUGUGAAUUUACCAUAUUAUCCUUAUUUAAUUAAUUAUUUUAAUUUUUAAUGUUUGCAUUAAUCAAUGACAUUUUUUGAUAUUUUGAAUAUUUCACUAUUCUCUACUCUUUACUUUAUAUUAUAUAUAUAUAUAUAACAAAUAAAUUAAUGUGUGCAUAAAAUACAUAUACCAUAACCCAAAAGUAGAAAUGGAUGGUGAAGUGUCAGCACAUAAGAGGAACACGAAUGCCUGCAAAGCUUUUGGGAGGAUCUAAGAGUAGGGAUUUUUCAAAACUGAUAUUGAUCUCCACUAAUUUAACCCAAGUGAUUCCACUGUAGAUACUAAUUAAACAACAUAAUGAUAUUAUUAGUGAUUCCACUGUAGGAAUUUUCCAAUUGACGACAUUUUUUGGAUUUUGAUUAGAUAUUUAACUAUUUAAGUAUGUGUUUUAUCUAUAUGUACUUUCAUUUUGGGGGACAAGGUUUAUUAUGUCUCCGGUGUUUUUUUGUUUUUUUGUCUUUAAUAAAAUUCAAUGGUACUGUUGAGUUUUCAGUAGAUUUAUACGUAAGGAAAAUUUAGCCCAUGUCAUUUUCAAAUCCUGGAUUCGUCCCUGGUGCUACCGAGUCUUGAGUCCAAAGUCAAGGGGUGGAAUAAUGGGAUUAUGAACCUUAUUGAUAGGAUAAGUUAUCCUAAAAAAAUGCACAAAAUAGAAUUAUGGUGGAAUUAUAUUUUAUCCAAUCCUACUACUUAUAAUACGCACGAAACGAGGCCAAAGUCCAGCAAAGGUUUUGGGGAUAUCCUUUCAUUGAUUAAUGACGAUGACUUAACUCAAGUAAUUCCUGUCUCACGAAAUCAAACAAAAAAGGGAUUAAUAAAUAUCAUAGCGCUCAUAUCUACUUCAACUAUAAAAUUAAAAUUACCUGAGAAUGUGAUAAGGUCUUGUUUGGGUAACAUGUUACAUGAAUUCAAUCAGGGACUGAGAUCUAAAUAAAUCUAAGGAAAAGCAAAUGUAACAUAUUGGUAUAGAGGUUGCAUUACUUUUGCUUGUGUGUUUCCUAAACUUCAAUAACAUCAAAUCAUUUGAUUCAGCCAACUUGCAUAAAUUGGCCCUAGCAUUCUGUCUAGUCCUUGUGUAGGGCUCCAUAAAUUACCCCUUCAUGCCAAUCUUGCAUAUUUUCUGGUCAUUCACGAUUAAAUCCACAUGGCUGGAGCCAUGGAGACUUGACAGUCACAAUACGAUGCCUGAACAAUUAUGAAAAUGGACAAGGCAUGUGGGCUUAUGAUAUUCCCAACAUUUUUUCUGAUUGAUUUGAGUUAUUGAAGAGAUCAUCAUCAGUAUUUUAAAAAAAAAAUUAUAUAUUAUCCUUCCAAAACCUUUAUGUGCUGUGUGGUCCCUACAUCACCAUCCCUUUGUGUUUUAUUCACAUAAUAAUCUCGUGCAAAAUUUGAUCCAAAAAUAAAUAAAUAAAGGGUUCAUGUAAACAAACAAAGAGGAAGAUGAAUGCCUGCAAAGAUUUUGGGAGGAUCUAAGAGUAGGGAUUUUUCAAAACUGAUGUUGAUCUCCACUAAUUUAACCCAAGUGAUUCCACUGUAGACACUAAUUAAACAACAUAAUGAUAUUAUUAAGAUUGGAAAAAAUGAUUAAGAAAUAUCAAACCACUUACUUGGACUAUAAAUUACCUGCAGGUCAGUCAACUUUUCAUCACUACAGCCACAAAUCACAUAUUAAUGGAGGAUUUCUCUUGGGCUGUUUUAACCCUGGCAUGCCUGGCUGCUCUAGCCCUCGUCUCAAAAAAUUUCUUCCCCCAACUCCACAAACUGAAAUAUCCACCAGGUCCUAAACCAUGGCCUAUAAUUGGCAACCUCAACCUCAUUGGUCCUCUGCCUCAUCAAUCCUUUCACAAGUUGUCCCAAACUUAUGGACCAAUAAUGCAGCUCAAUUUUGGCUCCUUCCCAGUUGUAAUUGCCUCAUCUCCAGAAAUGGCAAAACUGUUUUUAAAGAUACAUGAUCACGUAUUUGCCUCUAGACCCCAAACUGCAGCAGGCAAGUACCUCACUUAUGACCACCUCAAUGUCACUUGGGCACCUUAUGGUCCAUAUUGGCGUCAAGGCCGGAAAAUCUUCCUCUCCGAGCUAUUUAGCUCAAGAAGACUGGAGUCUUUCGAGUACAUUCGGGUUGAGGAAAGUCACGCUUUUGUGUCGCGACUCUAUGCCUUGUCAGGAAAGCAAAUCAUGCUUAAAGAGCAUCUGUCACGCCUAACUCUUAGUAUUAUGAGCAGAAUUGUGUUUGGUAAGGAGUAUUUUGGCGUGUCCAAAUUUGAGAGUUCGGUAAUGUCACUCAAAGAAUUCCAGGACACAUUGGAUGAGUUGUUCUUGCUUAGCGGGGUAUUCAACAUAGGGGAUUGGAUACCAUGGCUUAAUUUUUUAGACUUACAAGGGUAUGUAAAGCGAAUGAAGGCCUUAACGAAAAAAUUGGACCGGUUUUAUGAGUUUGUGCUCGAUGAACACAAGACAAAGAAGGAAGGAGUGGAGGAAUUUGUGUCAGAAGACAUGGUGGAUUUACUGUUGCGGCUGGUUGAUGACCCUAAUGAUCUUGAAGUUAAGCUCACUUACGACAGUGUCAAGGCAAUCACUCAGGUAGCUUCUUAAAUUAUUUCUUAUUUAAUUUCCGAACAUUAGGGUAAUGCUCUUUGGGCAAACAUAAGCAUUAUAACAUUUGCACCCUUAGAUAUAUGAGAACUUCUGUAAAAAGACACAACUUAAUGAUAUAAACAUAAAUGAUUCACUUUGUUCAUUCAAAUUAAAACCAGGACUCAGUAGCAGGAGGCACUGAUACUUCUGCAACCACUUUGGAGUGGGCAAUGUCUGAACUCAUAAAACAACCAAACCUCAUCAAAAAAGCAACACAGGAGCUUGACAGAGUGAUUGGGAGAGAGAGAUGGGUAGAAGAGAAAGACCUCGAAAACCUUCCUUAUAUAGAUGCAAUUAUGAAAGAGACCAUGAGGAAGCACCCUGUAGUGGCAAUGCUACCACCACAUCUAGCUCUUGAAGAUUGCAAUGUGGCAGGCUAUGAUAUUUGCAAAGGAACUUUAGUGUUUGUGAACACAUGGAGCAUGGGGAGAGACCCCACGCUGUGGGAUGCACCAGAUGAGUUUAGGCCUGAGAGGUUCAUAGGGAAGGCAAUUGAUGUGAAGGGACAGAGUUUUGAGUUCUUGCCAUUUGGCUCAGGAAGGAGGAUGUGCCCUGGUUAUAGUCUUGGACUGAAAGUGAUAAGGUCUUGCUUGGCCAACAUGUUACAUGGGUUCAAUUGGAAAUUGUCUGAGAAUGUGAAAAAAGAAGAUUUGAGCAUGGAGGAAGUUUAUGGAUUGUUAACACCUCGGAAGUUCCCACUUGUUGCCGUAGUUGAACCUCGGCUACCAAUCUAUCUUUACUAGUGAUAUUGAAUCUGAGUGUCCGGAUAUGUAUUAUGAACCUUCUCUAUAAAAAUAAAACUGUGUAUGAACGUUUGUGAUGGUAACUUCCACUGCUUUGUUGAUUACACUGUCUCUGCACUCUGCAUUAUGCCUCGUCUCCUAGAAUGAGUUAGAUUAAUCUCAUCUGGGAAUAUGAACUAUAUGUUCCAUGUUACAUUUGUUUACGAAGCUCAAAUCUUAAAGCUUACGAAGCUCACAAGUAAUGCAACCUCUGUUCCAUGUUACAUUUGUUUUUCCCUUAAAUUUCUUUAUAUCUCAGUCCCUUAUUGAUAAAAAAGAAUUACAAUCUUAUUGAGAAGGCCUAGUUCUAUUCUUUUUGUUAAAACUAAGCCUCCCUACUUGAUGGAACAAAAAAGAAACUUAAAGCUGGCACAUUAUUAAGUUCAAAUAUAAUUAGUAAAGACGAAUUGGCAGCCGAGGUUCUGUGACUACAACAAGUGGGAACUUCCGAUGUGUGAGCAAUCCAUAAGAUUCCUCCAUGCCCAAAUCUUCUGUUUUCACAUGUCCAGACAGUUUCCAGGUGAACCCAUGUAACAUGUUAGCCAAACAAGACCUUACCAUUUUCAGUGCAUGACCAUAACCAGGGCACAUCCUCCUUCCUGAACCAAAUGGAAGCAGUUCAAAACUCUGUCCCUUCACAUCAAUUGCAUUAUUCCCUAAGAACCUCUCAGGCCUAAACUCAUCUGGUGCAUCCCACAGCAGCGUGGGAUCUCUCCCCAUGCUCCAUAUGUUCACAAGCACUAGAGUUCCUUUACAAACAUCAUAACCUGCCACAUUGCAAUCCUCAAGAGCUAAAUGUGGUAGCAAUACAAUUACAGGGUGCUUCCUCAUUGCCUCUUUCAUAAUAGCAUCCAUAUAAGGAAGGUUUUCGAGGUCUUCCUCUUCUACCCAUCUCUCUCUUCCAAUCACUCUAUCAAGCUCUUCGGUGGCCUUUUUGAUGAGGUUUGGUUGUUUUAUGAGUUCAGACAUUGCCCAUUCCAAAGUGGUAGCAGAGGUAUCAGAGCCUCCAAUUACCAAGUCCUGAGUGAAUGCCUUGACAGUGUCAUAGGUGAGCUUAACUUCAAGAUCGAUCGUUAGGAUCAUCAACUAGCUGCAAUAGUAAAUCCACCAUGUCCUUUGCCACAAACUCCUCCACUCCUUCCUUCCUGGCCUUGUGUUCAUUGAGCACGAACUCAUAAAACCGGUCCAACUUUUUCUGUAAGGCCUUCAUUCGCUUUACAUAACCUUGCAAGUCAAAAACAUCUAGCCACGGUAUCCAAUCCCCUAUAUUGGCUACCCCAGCAAGCAAGUACAACUCAUCUGUCAUGUCCUGAGAUUCUUUGAGUGAUAUUAUGGAACUCUUGGAUGUGGUCAAGCUAAAAUGGUCCUUACCCAACACAAUUCUGCACAGAACGCUAAGAGUUAGGCUUGACAGAUGCUGUUUGAGCACAACUGCCUUCCCUGACAUGGCAUAGAGUCGCGAAAUAAAAGCGCGAUUUUCCUCAACCCGGAUGUAUCGAAAGGACUCUAGACUUUUUGGGCUAAAGAGCUCAGAGAUGAAAAUUUUGCGGCCUUGACGCCAAUAUGGACCAUAAGGUGCAUGAGUGACACUGAGGUAGCCAUAAUUGAGGUACUUGCCUGCUGCAGUUUGAGGCCUAGAGGCAAAGAUGCGAUCAUGCGUCUUUAAAAAUUGCUUUGCCAUUUCUGGAGAUGAGGCAACUACAACUGGGCAGGAGCCAAGCUUAACCUGCAUUAUUGGUCCAUAAGUUUGGGACAACUUGUGAGCGGAUUGAUGAGGCAGAGGACCAACGAGGUUGAGGUUGCCAAUUAUAGGCCAUGGUUUGGGACCUGGUGGAAGUUUUAGCUUCUUGGGUAGGGGAAAGAGAAUUUUGGAGAGAAGGGCCAGAGCAACAAGCAGUGCAAGGGUUGAAAAACUUAAAACAGCCAAAGAAAAAGAAGCCGCCUCCUCCAUUGACAUUGUCGUGUACGAAGGUUGAGGAUAUUGCAGGUAAUUUAUAGUUGAAGAAGUAGCUAGGUAUGUCGUCGGGUCGGCUAUGAUAUUUCUGUCAUUACACAAAGUGUGAAAAGUAGGCAAGUUAAUUAGUACCUAUGUACAGAUGCCCCACGUUGCAAUUAUUCAUAGAAGAAGCCUCCAUUGUGUAAAGGUUGAGAAGUGCAGCCUUCACUGAUAUUUGCAGGUAAUUUAUAGUUCAAGUAGGUAUGUGGGCUAUGAUAUUUCUUAUAAAUUUAAAUUUGAUUUAGUGAUACAGGAAUGACUUAAGUUAGUGAAGGUCAUCAUCAAUCACCAUUCAUUUGUGUUUUAUGCAAACAUUAAUCUCGUUUCAGUUCUGAGAGUAGGCAUAGAAAUGCAGCAUUGUCUAGACAUCACACUUAAAGUUACUCCGACAGAUGCCCCACACCACACAUGCUGCCAUUAUGGUCUCUGGCCCUUGAAUUCAUGGUGGGAUGGUUGGUUGCUUUGCUUGAUAUAUUUUCAUUUGGGGAAUGAAGAAGAGAGCAUGAAUAUCAAUUAUUUUUAGACCUUACCUUAUAACAAGUCGACAGCAGUGAUUUUUGAUGCAUUUUGAUGGGUUUUUGUUCCACCUGAAUGUCUGUCUGGCUCUCCAACAACAGAGAGGAUCAAGGUUGUUUCAUGUUGCAAAUUUGCCCUAGAUGUGAAUGCUACAUGAUAGGAUUUUUAGUACCUACGCAAAUAUGGUUAAAAUCAUAUGAAAUAUUUGCAAGAAUACGAGGAUAUUGUAGUAUAGAUGCUCAUGCAAAGGUCGUUUUCCUCAAGGACUAUUUAACAAUUUAUGUAAAAACAAACUCUAAUUAACUACUUGAAAUUAAAGGUUGAGAAGGAUGAUUCUGAAAUCGUUUAAUACUAAAAACGAAUGUUGAUUAAAAACAAAUACUACCAAGAAAAGAGUUUUAAAAACUAAUUUAUAAAAGCACUAGGGUUUCACCAUUACCUAGCAAUCCUAUGAAUUUUUACCAAUUACUUAUGAUCUACACAUGCCACUUUGAAGGUUAGGUUUUCUUAAUUUAUACUCUACUUGGAACCUCCAACAUAGAAUGUAUAUCCAACAUGCAACCUGUCCAGACGUUCGGAUCAAAUUUGAACAUGAAAGACUCAUUAUGCUUUAUGAAAACCCUUUUCGAAAAACCAUGCAAUCCUUAAGACAUAAUGUUCAUCUUAAGUGAAAUUACAAUUAUUAAUCACAAGAAGCCAGCAUCAAUUUUAAGGAACCUUCCAACCAAAAUUGCAUCGAGUUACUUUUCUAAAGAUCCUAAUAGUGAUCAGGCAUUAAGACAAUUAGAAAGUUUAAACUAGUGAUUAACAAUUCAAAGUAUGCAUGCCAUCAAUCAUAAGCAAUUAAAUAAAAAUUACAUAUUCAUGCUAAGGUUCAAGGCUUCGCCCUGGCUAAAGAGAAUUAGUUAUGCAUAUUCAUAAUUGAAAUUCAAGCAAAUAUCAUUCGAAUGAAUAAGAAUAAAAACACCUUGACGUUGAAGAUCUUCAAGAACCCUCACAAUUAUUCUCUGUCUCCCAAAGUUACGUAAAAGAAAAGUGUCCCAAAACUAGAGCGGACUAAAACCUUAAAUAUUUCCCCUAAAAACCAGCCGCACAAUCCCUGCGAAAACCAGUCUCUUAUUCUCGCUAGGAAUCUAACUAAAUAAUAAAAUAGAAUAGAAUAUAAGACGUCCUAAUUAAGUAGGGAUAAACUGCACAGAAACUGUCUAGCCACGCUUUAGCCACAAAUCUCCUCCAAAUCCAGCCCAAGAUAGCUUGUUUAAAAGAUAAAAACGUUCUGAACAUAUCUCCAGAAGGCCCCGAACCCAUCCAAGAUCAUCUUAGGCUCCAAAAACGUGAUUCAAGCCCAAAACGUCACUAUUUCAGCACUGCACAUCGCUCCUUUAUUUAUUCGCCAGGAAAUCACCGCUUGGUGGACGAAUCUGAUAUUUUGAUACAAUCAAGCUAAGUGACUCACGAACGUCCUCCAACUGGAAUUACUCCAAAAUUCGUUCAUUUGAUUAUGUUUUGCUCCAGAGGAAGUCGACAGUCCUAUAGUGGAAAUAUAAUUCAAAGUAUCAAAAUUCUUUCAAAAUAUUAAUCAAAAUAUACUAAAAAUAGGGUUAAAUAUAUAAUAUAAAAUCUACUCAUCACUGCAUAUUUUCAGAUGAUUCAUGAUUAACGCCACAUAGCCGAAGCCAUGGAGACUUAACAGUGAGUGGAGCAAUGAGCACAAAAGAAUGGUUGAACAAAUGAAAUAAACCACAUCACAUUAUGGAGCUCCACAGGAUGAUUGGCUAGAUGGGUGCGACCGUACGUGGAAGAGAUCAUGGUACUUGUCACAUGUGCCACACUUACAUCCCAAUUCAGAUUUCAGUCCCUCGUUGAUAAAAACGAAUUACAACUUAUUGAGUAGAAGUUAUUUUUUUGCGAAAGCUAAGCCUCCCUACUUGAUCAAAAUAUAUAUUGGCAGACUACAUAGAUGGAACUAAAAAGAAAUUUAAAGCUGGCACGAUUCACAUAUAGUUAUUUUAUUUUAUUUUUUCUAUUGCUGAUACAGGCAAUAUGUUGAUGGCAGGGGAUUCGAACAUAGGACCUAUUCACAUAUAGUUAAUAAAGAUGGAUUGGCAGCCGAGGUUCUGUGACCACAACAAGUGGGAACUUCCGAGGUGUGACCAAUCCAUAAACCUCCUCCAUGCCCAAAUCUUCAACUUUCACAUUUUCUGGCAGUUUCCAGUUAAACCCAUGUAACAUGUUAGCCAAACAAGACCCUAUCAUUUUCAGUCCAAGACUAUAACCAGGGCACAUCCUCCUUCCAGAACCAAAUGGCAAUAACUCAAAACUCUGUCCCUUUACAUCAAUUGCCUUCCCUAAGAACCUCUCAGGCCUAAACUCAUCUGGUGCAUCCCAGAGUGUGGGGUCUCUUCCCAUGCUCCAUAGGUUCACAAACACUAGAGUCCCUUUACGAACAUCAUAACCUGCCACAUUGCAAUCUUCAAGAGCUAGAUGUGGUGGUAGCAUUACAACCGCAGGGUGCUUCCUCAUGGUCUCUUUCAUAAUUGCAUCCAUAUAAGGAAGGUUUUCGAGGUCUUUCUCUUCUACCCAUCUCUCCUUCCCAAUCACUCUGUCAAGCUCUUCUGUCGCCUUUUCGAUCAGGUUUGGCUGUUUUAUGAGCUCAGACAUUGCCCAUUCCAAAACGGAAGCAGAGGUAUCAGUGCCUCCAGCUAU
rnacentral:lncRNA from 1 species